rnacentral:tRNA from 1 species
GGAGGGGUGUCCGAACUGGCUAAGGAGCCGGUCUUGAAAACCGGUACGCCCUUCAAGGGCAAUGUGGGUUCGAGUCCCACCCCCUCCGCCA